AGUCUCUGCAGUAGUUGAUACGCCGGUUUUGUAAACUGGAAAAAUAGAUAUAUCUGAGAUUU
rnacentral:tRNA from 1 species